rnacentral:rRNA from 1 species
GAUGAACGCUAGCUACAGGCUUAACACAUGCAAGUCGAGGGGAAACGGCAUUGAGUGCUUGCACUCUUUGGACGUCGACCGGCGCACGGGUGAGUAACGCGUAUCCAACCUUCCCAUUACUGUGGGAUAACCUGCCGAAAGGCAGACUAAUACCGCAUAGUCUUCGAUGACGGCAUCAGAUUUGAAGUAAAGAUUUAUCGGUAAUGGAUGGGGAUGCGUCUGAUUAGCUUGUUGGCGGGGUAACGGCCCACCAAGGCGACGAUCAGUAGGGGUUCUGAGAGGAAGGUCCCCCACAUUGGAACUGAGACACGGUCCAAACUCCUACGGGAGGCAGCAGUGAGGAAUAUUGGUCAAUGGACGGAAGUCUGAACCAGCCAAGUAGCGUGCAGGAUGACGGCCCUAUGGGUUGUAAACUGCUUUUGUAUGGGGAUAAAGUUAGGGACGUGUCCCUAUUUGCAGGUACC